AUUGAACGCUGGCGGCAGGCCUAACACAUGCAAGUCGAACGAGUGGCGGACGGGUGAGUAAUGUCUGGGAAACUGCCUGAUGGAGGGGGAUAACUACUGGAAACGGUAGCUAAUACCGCAUACCAUCAGAUGUGCCCCGAUGGGCUUAGCUAGUUGGUGGGGUAACGGCUCACCAAGGCGACGAUCCCUAGCUGGGCUGCGAGGAUGACCAGCCACACUGGAACUGGGACACGGCCCAGACUCCUACGUGAGGCAGCAGUGGGGAAUAUGGCACAAUGGGCGCAAGCCUGAUGCAGCAAUGCCGCGUGUAUGAAGAAGGCCUGCGGGUUGUAAAGUACUGUCAGCGGGGAGGCGUUACCCGCAGAAGAAGCACCGGCUAACUCCGUGCCAGCAGCCGCGGUAAUUC
rnacentral:rRNA from 1 species